AAUAGCUUGAGAAACUAAAAAAAAAACUAAAAAAAAAAUCCCGAUUUAUCUCUGUUUUCUGUGACUUAUCUCUCUCUCUCUCUCUUCAGCCUCUCCCCCAUCUACUCUCAUCGCCUCAAUCCUAAACCUUUACUUGGAUUUGUCUUGGAGAAUACUCAGGUAAUUUUAUUUUUAGAUGAAUUUCGAUUAGUAUGUGAAUUAGAUAAUUGGAUUGAAUGUUUGAUUCCAAAAUUGUUUUUUGAUUGGGUUUCCCUUCUUGUGAUUAAUUUGUUGAUUGAGUUUGCUAAGUAUAGUUAAUUAUCAAACUCUAGUUUUAGAAACAUGAUAAUUAGAAUAUAAAACAAAGAAAAACUCACAAUUGCAUCAGAAAAAAUGAACUAAGUACUAUAUCCAUACUAGAUUGGGUAUGAUAUUUGCUGCUGGUGUAUCCCCUAACUGGUUCGAUGAAAACUCUUCUAGGUUAUUGAUCAUUGAACGGGUAGGUAUAAUUCUCCGUAAGUUGUAGAAAUAUUUUGCAGGCUGCUAAUCCCAAUAAAAACUCUUCUAGGUUAUAUCCAUACUAGAUUGGGUAGGUAUAAUUCUCUGUAAGUUGCUUCUCACUUAUGAGAAAGACAAUAUCUUUAUGCACAGCAUGCUCGUAUCGACAUACAGUACUUCAUCUGAUUGGUAGUAUUAGUUUCUUUGUUAUCAUGGUACUUAAUUAUGUAAGUUAACAUUUAGAAGCAGUUUUACUAAAUUGAUCACUACUUGAUAGUUGAUGCAAUUUGUAAUCGAAUUUUAAGAAAUUUGAUUUAUUGGUCGAUUUACCGUUUGUAGUUGACAAAUUUUAUCGAUUAAUAUUGAAUCAUGACGAAGAGUCGUCUUUAGUUGACAAAGAAGAAGUAGCAGAAAUUUGGAAUGAAUUUCAGUCUUGCGUAGUCUGAAGUUCAUGGUCGGAUGAAAGUCUUCCUGUUCUCCGAUCGAGUUGAAAUUUUUACAGUAGUUGCAUAACGUCUAAUUCAAUAAUAUGUUAAAAUAUCGUGAUCAUCCAAAGGUUGGAUUGUCAGAAAUAAAUAAAACGGAAUUACUGUUCAUCAGUGACAGUAUUUCGAAUUUUGAGUUAAACAAAAAUUUGGUUACUCUGUAAGUUGGGGGUAUAAUUCUCUGUAAGUUGUAGAAAUAGUUUUCAUUCCAUAUCAGCCUGCAAAAUAUUUCUACAAAUACCAGAUGCGCAGUCUUGUGUAACCCUUUUUAUGUUAUCAACAGCUUGCUUCAAGUCUGAACAGAUGCGCAGUCUUGUGUAACCCUUCUUAUGUUAUUCUUUACAUUGGGAUUGUUAAUUUUAUUUUUCAAUAAAAUCCUUGGCAUGUAUAGGGCUGUUAUACAAACCUUGCUAUUUUGCUGUUCAUGUCAUUUUGCUAGAUCUUUUUAAUGAUUGCUUGUUUUAUGUUUUGUUAAUUCGAAGUAAAAUUGAUCAGUUGUUUAUUUCUUGUAAUAGGUAUAUGAAUAUGGACAAGAGUUGGAUGCAAUUAGAUCGGUUUCCUGAAAAUCUUUUGCGGUACUUUCCUUUAAAACCAAAACUUCAGAGAUUGUUUAUGUCAAGGAUGACAGCUGAAGAUAUGCGGCGGCACAAGGAAAAACGAGUUCCAGAAGUUAUGAUCUUGCUGUGGCAGUGCUGCUGCUGAUAGUCUAUAUAAUCUUGCUUUUAUACUUCUUGUUAUGAAAUGAUUUACAAAUAGAAUCUCAUUUUUAGACAUUCUCUACAUAUUGUGAAUACAGGGGAGUUCUUAUGAUAUUGUACAUGAACUGAAUAUGAGGUCUUAAUUCAGAGCAAUUUCUUUCUCUGUUCAGGACAAAUUAUUUGAAUAAAAAUGAUUUAUAUCAAUCUGUAGACUUU
rnacentral:lncRNA from 1 species